AUUGAACGCUGGCGGCAUGCCUUACACAUGCAAGUCGAACGGCAGCGGACCUUCGGGUGCCGGCGAGUGGCGAACGGGUGAGUAAUAUAUCGGAACGUACCUUUCAGUGGGGGAGUAACGUAGCGAAAGUUAACGCUAAUACCGCAUAUUCUGUGAGCAGGAAAGACAGGGGAGUCGCAAGACCUUGCGCUGAUUGAGCGGCCGAUAUCAGAUUAGCUAGUUGGUGAGGUAAAGGCUCACCAAGGCGACGAUCUGUAGCGGGUCUGAGAGGAUGAUCCACCACACUGGAACUGAGACACGGUCCAGACUCCUACGGGAGGCAGCAGUGGGGGAAGUUUU
rnacentral:rRNA from 1 species